rfam:Ipomoea nil DNA, scaffold: scaffold1948, cultivar: Tokyo-kokei standard.
UCCGUUGUCGUCCAGCGAUUAGGAUAUUUGGCUUUCACCCAGGAGACCGGAGUUCAAUUCCCGGCAACGGAA